GUAGAAUCAGACUCUGUCUCCCUCCUCCCUCUCCCUCCCACUUCAGUUAGUCUCUUCAGUUGGAGUCAAACUGGGAUUCAGACUGAACUCUUGACAUAGUCUCGGUGCCAUGGCAAGUCUUUUUACCUCUAACUCUCUAAUAAGACUAUAAGUUGCUAAAUUCGUGUAACUCCUGCAUUGGUGAAGAAAGUAUCUGCUGUGGGAAUUCUCUAUACUUGAGGAAAGCACAGAUGUAAUCGAAAAGAAAAAAAAAAGGUGAGAAAACUGAAGUUUGGAAAAGGCUUACUCAAAUUUACCCAGGGCCUCAGUAACAGAAGUGGGACUUGCACCUUUUGAAUUAAAUCAAUGGUAGACCUUAGGAAGGAUCUGCAUUAUCUUGAAAAGGGGCCCCUAGCUUCACAAAAAGGGUCCAGGACAUACAAAAAGGCAAAAGAACUCCUGCUUCAAACAUUCUCUUCACAACCUCUGAGGGGAAAAGGGUCAAGUCUGACCAGCUGCCCACCAACAUGAAGAUUUUAUUUUAGAAUCAGCCUUUCCUUCAGGAGCUGCAAAAGGCAUUACAGAAACAGCACACAAUUGUCUGACAUGUAUACUUAGGACUCUUUUUAAAGAGAGGACUUAGGAGGCAGUAGUUGUUUGUCCACCAUGGAAUUACCAUAUGGAUUCACAGCCAUCUCUCAAUUAUCCAUGGCCACAAAAGGGGAAUAUUGAUGUGGGUAAUCAGAAACUGCAAGUAAUCUGAAUGAACAAGGCUAAUUCACAUGGAAACUGGCCUCAAGGGAGCUUCAUGCCCAGCUGUAUGUGGUAGAGUGCCUGGAUGCUCAGCUGGGUGAUUGAUCAGUUUUCUGAAAGAGUUGCAUGACCAACUUUCAGCUGUCAAAUUCCAAAAUGAAAUUUAAGUACUCAAGAAACAGAUGUCAGUUCCAAGGUAGAAAAGCCUGGGACAGGACAGAGAGCUGAACAAAUGAUUUCCGAUGCCCAGGCACCGUUUAUUAUCAUGCAGUGUUGUAUGGCGUAAACCAACAGAGGAUAUUUUCCCCUGGAAAUUAAGAACAAGAUUUCCAUUUUUGAAAAACGGUGUGGCAUCAAUCUAUGUUUUCUUUCACAACCUGACGAAUAUUGGAAUGAAAUUGGAAAAAAAUAUUGGCAAGUUUUGCAUCACUACAUAUGUAUCACCUAUAUCAAAUUGUUUUCCUUCUCAAUAAAGCAUGAGGGGAAGGAGUUAGAAAGAGAAAUUUGAACUAAAAAUUAUAAUAUAUCUUGUGUGUAUUUUGAAAAAAUUAAAAUAUGUAAAGGAACAAAAACAAAAAGGAAUCAGAGAACUCAAGUUUGAUUCCUACUUGCUUAAUAAGAAAGAAAGAAUAAAGCAAUCAUUAAGCAUAUACUAUGUGCUCAGCCCUGGGCUAAGCAUUUUUACAAAUAUCUUAUUUGGCUGUUACAAUAACUCUGGUAUGUGGGUCUUAUUAAUAUCUCCCUUUUACAGUUGAAGAAACUGAGGUAGAGGUUAAGUGACUUGCCUAGGGUAUCACAACUAUUAAAUGUAUGAGGCUAGAUUUGAACUCAGACACUUCCUAACUCCAAUUUCAGCACUUUAUUAUUAUGCUGGGUCACCUGUCUAUGUGUGCUAUAUACUAGUGGGAAACUUUGGACAAAAUAGUACUUGUCUCAACUUAGUUCCUUAUAUAUAAAAUGGGGGUAUUGAAUAAAAUGAUCUCUUAGAUUCCUUCUGGCUUUAAAUAUAUGGUUCUAUAUUCUUAAAAAUUGACAUUGCCUGUGCUAUAAGAAAUAAUGAACAGACUAGUUAAAAGAAAAUCUUGGAAAGAAAUACAUAUGAUUAUGAAGUGAAAUAAGUAGAUCCAAGAGAACAUUAUACAUUGAUAUAUAUUUGAGGAAUAACUUGUAAAAAUUCACCUCUGGCUAAUGAAUUGAGAAGUGAAAUAUGAACGACAUAAUAUACAUAUUUUGCUGGAUGAUGCCUUCUAUCAUGUGGGGAGGGAGGGAGAGCCUGAAUGAAAAAAACUAAAAAAUAAAAUAAAAUAAAAUAAAUUUAAAAAGUUAAAAAACAAUGUUAUGAAAAACUUAAAAAGAAUUGGCAUUCCUUAUAUCUUCCAUAGUAGAGUCAAUAUGAAUGAGAGCUUGAUUUCCUUCUCUCACAUACAUGCAUACACACACACAAACAGACAUCUAUACUUACAUUUCAUAUCCUGGUCUGCCCUAUAACCUUAUUAGCCAUGAAUUUCCUUGACCACAGGAAUCUUUUUUUUUCCCCAUUCAGCCCUCAUUUUUUUUAGCUUCUCCAGUCCCUUGGACCUGAGGGUCCAAGAAGCCUACAGAUUUUCCAUGUACAACUUUCCUCAUGUUCAUCUUAACUCUUUCUUCAUGAGAGAACAGUGAUUUGGCUAUACCAGAGAGUUGGACUUUUUUGGCAAAGUCAACUCUAGAUGAAUACAGGGAGCAAAAGAUAUCUGCAUGAUCCAACUCUUACGAAACCCUUUCCUGUCCCUCUUGGUGAGUGGCCGAAAGAAGAGCAUCCCAGCAAACCUUCUU